UACGGGGGGGGUAAGCGUUGUUCGGAAUUACUGGGCGUAAAGGGCUCGUAGGCGGCCAACUAAGUCAUACGUGAAAUCCCACGGCUUAACCGUGGAACUGCCUGUCAGACUGCAUGGCUUGAGACCAGGAGAGGUGAGUGGAAUUCCCAGUGUAGCGGUGAAAUGCGUAGAUAUUGGGAGGAACACCAGUGGCGAAGGCGGCUCACUGGACUGGUACUGACGCUGAGGCGCGAAAGCGUGGGGAGCAAACAGG
rnacentral:rRNA from 1 species